rnacentral:lncRNA from 1 species
GGCCAGAUUGGGAACUCUGGAUUUGCCUGGCAGGUGCAUUGGCUCCCCAACUGAGGGAGAAAUGGGCCAGAUAUGAUCUUGAGAUAUCCCUGCCUACCCACCCCACCCCAGCUCACUGCAUGGCUGGCAGGGGGCUGCCCAAUAGGGGCCUGGAGAGAGCAGCCGGAGCCCUUCCUUUGCACGCCCGGGCCCUGCUCACAGUGUGCUCAUUGGCAUCUGUGUCUUGUGUCUUCUUGCUCCUUUUACAUGUGCUGCUGCUGCUCUCUCCUCCUUCUUGUCCCUCCUCUCCCCUGCAGCCCCCAGUAUUCCAGCUCUGGGCACUCAUCUUCCUGGCAGGCGCUGGAGAAGCCGCUCAGCAGGGCCAGAACUCUCUCACCUCCCUAGAGCCCUGCCCAGUCCUUGCUUUGUGUGAGCAGCCCGCCUGGCAGCCAGCAGUAGAGGAGUCAGUCAGUAGCACAGUGACCAUGCCCACUGGGCCUCAGGCACCAGGCCCAGGUGUCUGCUGAAGAACAGUUUUGACAGAGCCUCUUCAGAGGCUUCCCAUCUUCUAAGACAGACAGUAUGGCCUUUACCUCCGUCUGCAGGUUCUGAAACCCGUUAUUGGCAGGAAAGUUUGCUCCCAGCCCUCCUAUUCCAGUACAAGCUUGAGCCUGGGUGUUUGCUGGAAGAGGAGCUGCUGCUUCUGGGCCGUGUGCUGGGUACAUGUGCCUGCACAGCCACUCCUUCCUCCCCAGAGCUGAUCUCUGGGGCUGUGGGGAGGGACAGCCCCCUGGCUGGGGUUCCUUGUCAGGAAGGGCAGUCAGGCUGCCAUGUGAGGCACUGCAGUGUUAGCCUGCAGAUGACUGACAAGUAGCUUUUGGGCGUGGGUCCUGCCCACCCCACUGGUGGCAUGUCCCCAGACCCAGCUCUCCUGGGUGUGCCUGCAGGGUGGAAGGAGCGAGAGAUCCCAGACUAAACUCUCCCUCGCUCUGUUUUUUGAGGAACCUGAAUGAACCUGAAAGCAAAGACCGAGUGGAGACGCUCAGACCUCACGUGGUAGGCGGUGGAGGCACUGACAAGGAAAAGGAAGAAUUUCGGG